GUGGAACUUGUCUCUGUCUCUUUUUCUGAUUUUGUCCCUCAGUCGAAUUAUUUCUUCUGAGGAGGCAAGGACUGAAGUUGCUACAGACCCCUAAGGACAGGCCAUCGGUAACACUGGGUAAAUCAGAUCUCUUCCACGGGUCUAUCAAUGAGAAGAAAGUGCCAACUGAAAACUUUUAGAAAAUACCCAGUUUACUCAAGGAAAAUAACAUGCAUUGAAGGUGAUUGCUCAAUAGAGAGAAGUUGAAACAGCAGACUAAUUGCCUGUUUGUGACACCCAUGUAAUCAACUUGGUCUGUUCUAGAUUAACAUUGCUAUGGUUUGAAUAUGUCCCCUCCAAAAGUUAUGUUGAAACUUAAUACCCAUUGUGGCGGUAUUAAGAGGAGGGCCUUUGGGGAAGUGAUUACGUCAUGAGGGCUCUGCCCUCAUGAAUGGAUUAAAAUCCUCAUAGAAGAAGCUUCAGAGAGAGCUUUGUCAUUUUUGCCCUUUCACCUUUGGCCAUGUGAGGACGCAGCAAAGAAGCCCUCGUCAGAUACCGACUGCUGGUUCCUUGACCUUGGACUUUCCAGCCUCCAGAACUGUGAGAAAUAAAUUUUUGUGGUUUACAAAUUACCA
rnacentral:lncRNA from 10 species